UGAGGAAUAUUGGUCAAUGGAUGGAAAUCUGAACCAGCCAAGUAGCGUGCAGGAUGACGGCCCUAUGGGUUGUAAACUGCUUUUAUGUGAGAAUAAAGUUAGGUAUGUAUACUUAUUUGCAUGUAUCACAUGAAUAAGGACCGGCUAAUUCCGUGCCAGCAGCCGCGGUAAUACGGAAGGUCCAGGCGUUAUCCGGAUUUAUUGGGUUUAAAGGGUGCGUAGGCCGUUUGAUAAGCGUGCUGUGAAAUAUAGUGGCUCAACCUCUAUCGUGCAGCGCGAACUGUCGAACUUGAGUGCGUAGUAGGUAGGCGGAAUUCGUGGUGUAGCGGUGAAAUGCUUAGAUAUCACGAAGAACUCCGAUUGCGAAGGCAGCUUACCGUAACGUUACUGACGCUUAAGCACGAAGGUGCGGGUAUCGAACAGGAUUAGAUACCCUGGUAGUCCGCACAGUAAACGAUGGAUGCUCGCUGUUGGCCUUUUUGGUCAGUGGCUUAGCGAAAGCGUUAAGCAUCCCACCUGGGGAGUACGCCGGCAACGGUG
rnacentral:rRNA from 1 species